rnacentral:siRNA from 1 species
UCCUGGUGGUGCCCUUCCGUC